rnacentral:rRNA from 1 species
UGUCGUGAGAUGUAGGGUUAAGUCCCGAAACGAGCGCAACCCCUAUCCCAUGUUACAAAGUGUCUUGGGAAACUGCCUCGGUAAAACGGGGAGGAAGGUGGGGAUGAUGUCUGGUCCGCAUAGUCCUUAUGUCCUGGGCUACACACGCGCUACAAUGGUCGGUACAAUAGGCAGCCAAGCCGUAAGGCGGAGCUAAUCCUAAAAACCGAUCUCAGUUCGGAUUGUGGGCUGCAACUCGCCCACAUGAAGUUGGAUUCGCUAGUAAUCGUGGAUCAGCCAUGCCACGGUGAAUACGUUCUCGGGUCUU